rnacentral:rRNA from 1 species
GCAGCCACUCAUUCAAAGAGUGCGUAAUAGCUCACUGGUCGAGUGAUCCUGCGCCGAAGAUUUCCGGGGCUAAAACUUACUACCGAAGCUACGGCAUCAGUAAUGAUGGGUAGGGGAGCUUCCCAUACGGGUUGAAGCAUGACCGUAAGGACAUGGGGACUGUAUGGGAGUAAGAAAGUUGGCAUGAGUAGCAAGAUGUGGGUGAGAAUCCCACAGGCCGUAAACCCAAGGUUUCCAGGGGAAGGUUCGUCCGCCCUGGGUUAGUCGGGACCUAAGCUGAGGCCGAAAGGCGUAGGUGAUGGACAACAGGUUGAUAUUCCUGUACUACCGAUAACCGUUUGAGAGAAGGGAUGACACAGUAGGAUAAGCUAAGCACACUGUUGGUUAUGUGUGCCCAAGCAUUGAGGCAGUCAAAGUAGGCAAAUACGCUUUGAUAAUGCUGGGAUGUGAUGGGGAGCGAAAUUUAGUAGCGAAGUAGCUGAUUUCACACUGUCAAGAAAAGUCUCUAUCGAGGUUAAAGGUACCCGUACCGCAAACCGACACAGGUGGGUGAGGAGAGUAUCCUAAGGCCAGCGAGAGAACUGUUGUUAAGGAACUCGGCAAAAUGACCCCGUAACUUAGGGAUAAGGGGUGCCACCAUCAGGUGGCCGCAGAGAAUAGGCUCAAGCGACUGUUUACCAACAACAUAGGUUUCUGCUAAGUCGCUAGACGAUGUAUAGGAGCUGACGCCUGCCCGGUGCUGGAAGGUUAAGGGGAUCUGUUAGAGCAA